rnacentral:rRNA from 1 species
AUUGAACGCUGGCGGCAGGCCUAACACAUGCAAGUCGAACGCGUGGCGGACGGGUGAGUGAUAUCUGUGAGACUGCCCGAGGGAGGGGGAUAACUCCUGGAAACGGUAUCUAAUACCGCAUACCAUCUGCUGUGUCCAGAUGGGGGUAGCUUGUAGGUGAGGUAACGGCUCACCUAGGCGCCGCUCCCUAGCUGGUCUGAGAGGAUGACCAGCCAAACUGGAACUGAGACACGGUCCAGACUCCUACGGGAGGGAGCAGUGGGGAAUAUUGCACAAUGGGCGCAAGCCCGAUGCAGCCAUGCCGCGUGUAUGAAGAAGGCCUUCGGGUUGUAAAGUACUUUCAGCGGGGAGGCGUUACCCGCAGAAGAAGCACCGGCUAACUCCGUGCCAGCAGCCGCGGUAAUUC